GGGAGUAAAGCUGCUGAUCAGGUGUAAUUAAGUAAGGAGAUUAGCUUGACUCAUCCAGGUGGACCCAAUGUAAUUACAAGGAUACUUAAAUGUAGAAGAUGGAGGCAGAAGGGUUAGUAUCAAAGUGAGGUGCUUCCUGAGAGAUUUGAGUUGCCGUUUCUGGCUUUCAGGUUGGGGCAAGAAGCCACAAGACAAAAACAAUGGGUAGCAAGGAAGCAGAUUCUCCUCAGAACCUCCAAAAGAAGUGCCUUAAUACUUCUGACUUCAGAAAGAUAAGCAAGAAGAUACAGAUUUCUGAUUUUCCCCCCAUGGUUGAAAUGUCAGUGGGAAGAUUUCCCUGAAUGUACGGCUUGGUUGGACUACAGAAGAGAGCCCACCAUCUUUCCUCUCCCUUCUGCGUCCUCAGUAUUGGC
rnacentral:lncRNA from 1 species